rnacentral:lncRNA from 1 species
AAUAUGAUGUACAAUCUCAAAACUGCAUACAUAAAAAAAAUCAUAUGAUUUACAAAUCCGUAACUUAUAUAUCAAGUAAUUAAAAAUUAAAAAAUUUAAAUAAAAUUAAAUUAAAUAUAUUUUUAGAAUACUUGAUGCAUAGAUAAAAGAUCUUCGAAUCAUAUCAUCUUUUGUAUAUAAACAGUUUUGAGAUAGUAGAUCACAUCUAACA